rnacentral:rRNA from 1 species
GAUGAACGCUAGCUACAGGCUUAACACAUGCAAGUCGAGGGGCAGCAUAUUUAUAGCAAUAUAAAUGAUGGCGACCGGCGCACGGGUGAGUAACACGUAUCCAACCUGCCGUUUACUCGGGGAUAGCCUUUCGAAAGAAAGAUUAAUACCCGAUGGCAUAUAUUGAUUUCAUGGUCUUUAUAUUAAAGAAUUUCGGUAAACGAUGGGGAUGCGUUCCAUUAGGCAGUUGGCGGGGUAACGGCCCACCAAACCUACGAUGGAUAGGGGUUCUGAGAGGAAGGUCCCCCACAUUGGAACUGAGACACGGUCCAAACUCCUACGGGAGGCAGCAGUGAGGAAUAUUGGUCAAUGGGCGUAGGCCUGAACCAGCCAAGUAGCGUGAAGGAUGACUGCCCUAUGGGUUGUAAACUUCUUUUAUAAGGGAAUAAAGUGGAGUAUGUAUACUCUUUUGUAUGUACCUUAUGAAUAAGGAUCGGCUAACUCCGUG